CCAGUUUAUUCCAUUAAUAAAUGUCAUAAAAAUAAAGGAAGGGAAACAGUUAUAGUUUCAGGAGACAUGUCCACCAAGUGCAACGUGGAACUUGUUUGGAUCCUGAUAUGAAUAAGUCAUUUGUAAAAAGACAUUUUAAACAUGAAUGAUACUUUAUAAAAGUACAAUGUUAACUAUUAAUAUUGCUAAUUACAAUCUUAUACUGCCUAUUUAGAAAAGGCAAGAGAAUCAAUUGGAAAACUAACAGAAUUAAUUAGCAUUGUGAUUAAAUACAAGAUAAAAAUUAUGGCAUUCAGACAUACUAUUAAUCACUUGUUAGAAGCUAACAAUUCCCGAUAGCUACACAAAAAAUCCAAAAUACUUAGAAAUAAUUUUACAAAGAAAUAUAUGUUAGCAGUUUGAAGAAAACUAUAGAACUUAUACUGAUAGAUACAAAUACUUAAAUUAACUGAGAACUAGAGUAAGGAACUCUGUUUUAUACUCUCUCCCCAUUGCCUUAAUAAUCGUUAAACAUUAAACAUGCUUUAACUUAUCUUACAAUACACCCAUUCUUUAUUCUCUUAUGAAUUUUUUAAUCAUUAGCAUAUGAUAGGUAAUUUGAUUAUUUGUUUAUUUUAGUAAAAAUGUCUCUAUUGGGAAUCCCAAAGUCAUUAACUAAGUAUGUGAUUACAGAAUCACUUCAUUAUUAGCUGUUGGAUAAAGAAUCAUAACUGGAUCCUUUUGCUUUUAAUGAUUUGGGAUUUGCUAAUCCAUUUCUGAACUGUUUAGGAUUAGGAAGUUGUUACAGCCUCAUAAAGUUUUAUUAUGGGGGCCACAGCCUUUAUCAUUUCCUAUGGCUUAGCCUCAUUAAACAGUUCUGUUUGCCUAAUUCUCACCACUAACAUACAUGCAGCAGCCUAUCAUUUGUAAGGCUCCCACCACCAGCAGCAACCUGAUGAUUGCAAGUCAGCUUAGGGAAUCUUGUUGUCCUGGCCAUUCCAGUUACCCCAACUUGAGUAUUUACGGUGAUUACCUUGUCCAAUUAUAAUCUAAUCAUAGAAGGAAUUAAUGCCAUAAUCAUAGGCCAUUUCUCUCUCUACAUAUUUAUCAUACCAUAAAAGGACAUCACAUUGAAUCAAUUAAACUCUAAUAUGUGAAUAUAUUCCAAUAAUCUUCUACAGCAUCCCUGAGCUCACAGUAAACUCUCAAUUUAUUAUUGGUUCAGUUACUUACAAAUUAAAUAAAACAUAUGUUUGUGAACUAGACAUAAGUUUACACUUUUUAUAAACCAAGAGAUUUUCCGAGAACUGUACAGAGAAUAUGCAU
rnacentral:lncRNA from 1 species